rnacentral:rRNA from 1 species
UGGGGAAUUUUGGACAAUGGGCGAAAGCCUGAUCCAGCAAUGCCGCGUGUGUGAAGAAGGCCUUCGGGUUGUAAAGCACUUUUGUCCGGAAAGAAAUCCUUGGCUCUAAUACAGUCGGGGGAUGACGGUACCGGAAGAAUAAGCACCGGCUAACUACGUGCCAGCAGCCGCGGUAAUACGUAGGGUGCAAGCGUUAAUCGGAAUUACUGGGCGUAAAGCGUGCGCAGGCGGUUUGCUAAGACCGAUGUGAAAUCCCCGGGCUCAACCUGGGAACUGCAUUGGUGACUGGCAGGCUAGAGUAUGGCAGAGGGGGUAGAAUACCACGUGUAGCAGUGAAAUGCGUAGAGAUGUGGAGGAAUACCGAUGGCGAAGGCAGCCCCCUGGGCCAAUACUGACGCUCAUGCACGAAAGCGUGGGGAGCAAACAGGAUUAGAUACCCUGGUAGUCCACGCCCUAAACGAUGUCAACUAGUUGUUGGGGGAUUCAUUUCCUUAGUAACGUAGCUAACGCGUGAAGUUGACCGCCUGGGGAGUACGGUCGCAAGAUUAAAACUCAAAUGAAUUGACGA